rnacentral:rRNA from 1 species
AUUGAACGCUGGCGGGAGGCUUAACACAUGCAAGUCGAACGAGUGGCGGACGGGUGAGUAAUGUAUCGGAAACUGCCCAAUGGAGGGGGAUAACUACUGGAAAGGGUGGCUAAUACCGCAUACCAUCGGAGCGGCCCAAAUGGGAUUAGCUAGUAGGUGGGGUAAUGGCUCACCUAGGCUACGAUCCCUAGCUGGUUUGAGAGGACGAACAGCCACACUGGAACUGAGACACGGCCCAGACGCCUACGGGAGGCAGCAGUGGGGAAUUUUGGACAAUGGGCGCAAGCCUGAUUCAGCCAUGCCGCGUGUAUGAAGAAGGCCUUCGGGUUGUAAAGUACUUUCAGCGGAGAGGCGUUACCCGCAGAAUAAGCACCGGCUAACUCCGUGCCAGCAGCCGCGGUAAUUC